rnacentral:sRNA from 1 species
GUUGGGUGCUGUGGUGCACACCUGUAAUCCCAGCAAUUUGGGAGGUUGAGACAGGAGGAUUAAAAGUUCAAAUCAGCCUCAGCAAUUUAGUGAGACCCUGUCUCAA